AGAGUUUGAUCCUGGCUCAGGACGAACGCUGGCGGCGUGCUUAACACAUGCAAGUCGAGCGGUAAGGCCCUUCAGGGUACACGAGCGGCGAACGGGUGAGUAACACGUGAGCAACCUGCCCCUGACUCUGGGAUAAGCGGUGGAAACGCCGUCUAAUACCGGAUACGACCUUCCACCUCAUGGUGGAGGGUGAAAAGUUUUUUCGGUCAGGGAUGGGCUCGCGGCCUAUCAGCUUGUUGGUGGGGUAACGGCCUACCAAGGCGAUUACGGGUAGCCGGCCUGAGAGGGCGACCGGCCACACUGGGACUGAGACACGGCCCAGACUCCUGCGGGAGGCAGCAGUGGGGAAUAUUGCGCAAUGGGCGAAAGCCUGACGCAGCGACGCCGCGUGGGGGAUGACGGCCUUCGGGUUGUAAACCUCUUUUACCACCAACGCAGGCUCCGGGUUCUCUCGGGGUUGACGGUAGGUGGGGAAUAANGACCGGCUAACUACGCUGCCANCAGCCGCGGUAAUACGUAGGGUCCGAGCGUUGUCCGGAAUUAUUGGGGCGU
rnacentral:rRNA from 1 species